rnacentral:rRNA from 1 species
CCUANGGGGGGCAGCAGUGAGGAAUAUUGGUCAAUGGGCGCAAGCCUGAACCAGCCAUGCCGCGUGAAGGAUGACGGCGCUACGCGUUGUAAACUUCUUUUGUACAGGAAGAAACGCUUCUACGUGUAGAAGUUUGACGGUACUGUGCGAAUAAGCAUCGGCUAACUCCGUGCCAGCAGCCGCGGUAAUACGGAGGAUGCAAGCGUUAUCCGGAUUUAUUGGGUUUAAAGGGUACGUAGGCGGAGAACUAAGUCAGUAGUGAAAUCCCGCAGCUUAACUGUGGAACUGUUAUUGAUACUGGUUUUCUUGAAUGUAGUUGAAGUAGGCGGAAUGUGUAAUGUAGCGGUGAAAUGCUUAGAUAUUACACAGAACACCGAUUGCGAAGGCAGCUUACUAAGCUAUGAUUGACGCUGAGGUACGAAAGCGUGGGGAGCGAACAGGAUUAGAUACCCCGNUANUC